UACGAAGGGGGCUAGCGUUGCUCGGAAUCACUGGGCGUAAAGGGCGCGUAGGCGGCCUGAUAAGUCGGGGGUGAAAGCCUGUGGCUCAACCACAGAAUUGCCUUCGAUACUGUUAGGCUUGAGUAUGGUAGAGGUUGGUGGAACUGCGAGUGUAGAGGUGAAAUUCGUAGAUAUUCGCAAGAACACCGGUGGCGAAGGCGGCCAACUGGACCAUUAUUGACGCUGAGGCGCGAAAGCGUGGGGAGCAAACAGG
rnacentral:rRNA from 1 species